UAUUUAAUUUUCAAUGAAUUGUUCAUGUCUUUGAACAUGAACAAUUAUUUUGUUCUUAUUUUUCUAUUGAACUGUUGAUUUUUUUCUCUUGAUUUCUAGGUAUUUACAUAUUUGGGGAUUACACAUUGCCUGCAACGAGGUUCUUUUUAUUUUUAGGUGUAUUUUCCAGGCUUUGGACAUAGAGUCAGUGUACAAACAAUGAUAAGUAUAAUAUUUAUCCCACUCACUGAUUUUUUUUAAUGCUCUAACUUAAAGCUCUAAUUUUAAGCUCUCUUCUUGGGGCUUAAAGAUUAGGGAAGACAUAAGCCUUGAAGUGAUGCAAAAACAUAAUUUGUAUAUUUUCUUUAUCCCUUAGAGCCUCUUGAUUUCUUAGGCCAUGAUGGAGUCACAGUUACAAAAUCUGAUUACUUCUUAAAUAAUUUGAUCAUGAAGUCACAGUUAUGAAAUCUAAUUAUUUCCUAAGAUAUUUUAAUAUUUGCAAUGGAAAGAGUAGGAACAAAUGAGUCUCAAAGUGUCUAUCUGAAAAAGUAAAAUUUUAACUCCCAUGUUGUGACUCACCUUCCACUAUUAAGCUUGGAGACUCUGGGUGUGAUGUUAGGAAGGUUUUUUUAUUGUCACUCAAGCUCUUCCAUUGAAUCUGAGUA
rnacentral:lncRNA from 1 species